rnacentral:rRNA from 1 species
UACGGAGGGAGCAAGCGUUAAUCGGAAUUACUGGGCGUAAAGCGUGCGCAGGCGGUUUUGUAAGUCUGUCGUGAAAGCCCCGGGCUCAACCUGGGAAUUGCGAUGGAGACUGCAAGGCUUGAAUCUGGCAGAGGGGGGUAGAAUUCCACGUGUAGCAGUGAAAUGCGUAGAGAUGUGGAGGAACACCGAUGGCGAAGGCAGCCCCCUGGGUCAAGAUUGACGCUCAUGCACGAAAGCGUGGGGAGCAAACAGG